rnacentral:lncRNA from 1 species
AAGCUGCUGAGGUACCGCUCAAAUUUACGGUUUCAACUUUCGGUGAGACAUAGGUGAGCUUGAGGUCGCCAUGUUUGCAUACAAGAAUUGCUGUGCCUUUGUUUUGUUGGCAGCUUGUAUAUUGGUGAUGAGCGACGUGGCAUUUGCGCCGAGAGGGGGUACCAGAGGCAGGGUUGUCGAGAUGACGGAUGCGGCGGCUGCCGCGGCUGCGGCUGACACUGCACCUGCAGCGGAGGCUCGGGCCCUCGACGAUGCAAAAAAAUAGCAGAAGCCAGGUUCUGCGAGUCAUAAAGACUGAAUAAAAGUACUUUCGAUUUGAAAAG